UACGAGGGGGGCAAGCGUUGUUCGGAUUUAUUGGGCGUAAAGGGUGCGUAGGCGGUUUGGCAAGUCUUGUGUGAAAUCUUUGGGCUCAACCCAAAGUCUGCAUAAGAAACUGCCGGGCUUGAGUAUGGGAGAGGUGAGUGGAAUUUCCGGUGUAGCGGUGAAAUGCGUAGAUAUCAGGAGGAACACCUGUGGUGUAGACAGCUUACUGGACCACUUCUGACGCUGAGACACGAAAGCGUGGGUAGCAAACAGG
rnacentral:rRNA from 1 species